rnacentral:rRNA from 1 species
UACGAAGGGUGCAAGCGUUACUCGGAAUUACUGGGCGUAAAGCGUGCGUAGGUGGUUCGUUAAGUCUGAUGUGAAAGCCCUGGGCUCAACCUGGGAAUGGCAUUGGAAACUGGCGACCUAGAGUGCGGUAGAGGGUAGUGGAAUUCCCGGUGUAGCGGUGAAAUGCGUAGAGCUCGGGAAGAACAUCGGUGGCGAAAGCGCUCUGCUGGACUGCAACUGACACUCAGGGACGAAAGCUAGGGGAGCGAAUGGG